GCUGGGUGUGGUGGUGCACACCUGUAGUCCCAGCUACUGGGAAGGCUGAGGCGGGAGGAUGGUUUGAGCCCAGGAGAGGUCGAGGCUACAGUGAGCUGAAACUGUGUCACUGCAUUCCAGCCUGGGCAACACAGCCAGACCCUGCUUCCA
ensembl:misc_RNA Metazoa_SRP Metazoan signal recognition particle RNA